rnacentral:piRNA from 1 species
UAUGGUCUAGCGGUUAGGAUUC